AUGGUGAAGGUGACGUUCAACUCGGCUUGGCCAGAAGGAGCCAAGAAGGAGAGCCAGAGCUGCGAGGAGGCGCUCAUCAUCCCCCCACACACACACCGUCGCGGUGGACUGCAAGGACCCAGAUGAUGUGGUACCAGUUGGCCAAAGAAGAGCCUGGUGUUGGUGCAUGUGCUUUGGACUAGCAUCUAUGCUUGCGGGUGUCAUUUUAGGAGGAGCAUACCUGUACAAAUAUUUUGCACUCCAACCGGAUGACGUGUACUACUGUGGAAUAAAGUACAUCAAAGAUGAUGUCAUCUUAAAUGAGCCUUCUGCAGAUGCCCCAGCUGCGCGCUACCAGACAAUUGAAGAAAAUAUUAAGAUCUUUGAAGACGAUGAGGUUGAAUUCAUCAGUGUGCCUGUCCCAGAGUUUGCGGAUAGUGAUCCUGCCAACACUGUUCAUGACUUUAACAAGAAACUCACAGACUAUUUAGAUCUUAAUCUGGGUAAGUGCUAUGUGAUCCCUCUGAACACUUCCAUUGUUAUGCCACCCAGAAACCUGUUGGAGUGACUUAUUAUCAUCAAGGCUGGAACCUAUUUGCCUCUGUCACAUCUGAUUCAGGAGCACAUGGUUAUUACUGAUCGCAGUGAAAAUGUCGAUCACCUGGGUUUCUUUAUUUAUCGACUGUGCCAUGACAAGGAAACUUACAAACUCCAACGCAAAGAAACUGUUAAAGGUAUUCGAGAAACGUGAAGCCAGGGAUUGCAUCGCAAUUCGGCAUUUUGAAAACAAAUUUGCCGUGGAAACUUUCAUUUGUUCUUGAAUAGUCAAGGAAAAU